CGUUCAACGACCUGAGUCUCUUCUUCUACGCCGGAAGUAGUGUUCCAGAGGAAAAGCUGGAUGAUACACUGGCGACCUGUCCAUGGUGCACCUGACCACUCCAACAGUGUCAGCGGGGAUUGGUUCCAGCCUCCCUCCCUGGGGCCAUAAAACUAUACAGGGUAUAGAGAAUGGAUGAAUGAAUGAAUGGAUGUAUCCAGUCUGCUUGACACGAGCAGUACACAAUGAAUCAAAAGAAUGACGGCUCGACAGCUUCAAGACACCUCACUGUCCUUCUGGGUCUCAGCACUCCAGCCUUGUUCAUGGAAAUAAAGAGCUGACUCUUCACACCUUUGAUGGCCA